GUCAUUGCAACCACCUCACCAUCUUCUUUAAGCAAUCUCACUAUCUCUUGCUUAUGCUUUGGUUCAGCUCUUGAGAAGAGAAGCCCACAAUUUUGCCUCAAAAUAAUCUUCUUAUCAGAAAGGGACAUAAAUUCUUUCCCUAUGAAGCUUUUCCGGCUGAUGUCUUCUUGGGGACCAAAAACGCCAAUCUCACGGCAAAUUGCUUCAGCAGUUUCUUUGUUAUCUCCUGUUAUGACAAAA
rnacentral:misc_RNA from 1 species